rnacentral:rRNA from 1 species
UACGAGGGGGGCAAGCGUUGUUCGGAAUUAUUGGGCGUAAAGGGCGCGUAGGCGGUGCGGUAAGUCACCUGUGAAAACUCUGGGCUCAACUCAGAGCCUGCAGGCGAAACUGCCGUGCUUGAGUGUGGGAGAGGUGCGUGGAAUUUCCGGUGUAGCGGUGAAAUACGUAGAUAUCGGGAGGAACACCUGUGGCGAAAGCGGCGCACUGGACCACAACUGACGCUGAGGCGCGAAAGCUAGGGGAGCAAACAGG